rnacentral:rRNA from 1 species
CUCGUAGGCGGUUCGUCGCGUCCGGUGUGAAAGUCCAUCGCUUAACGGUGGAUCUGCGUCGGGUACGGGCGGGUUGAGUGCGGUAGGGGAGACUGGAAUUCCCGGUGUAACGGUGGAAUGUGUAGAUAUCGGGAAGAACACCAAUGGCGAAGGCAGGUCUCUGGGCCGUCACUGACGCUGAGGAGCGAAAGCGUGGGGAGCGAACA